CCUACGGGAGGCAGCAGUGAGGAAUAUUGGUCAAUGGACGCAAGUCUGAACCAGCCAUGCCGCGUGCAGGAAGACGGCUCUAUGAGUUGUAAACUGCUUUUGUACGAGGGUAAACGCAGAUACGCGUAUCUGUCUGAAAGUAUCGUACGAAUAAGGAUCGGCUAACUCCGUGCCAGCAGCCGCGGUAAUACGGAGGAUUCAAGCGUUAUCCGGAUUUAUUGGGUUUAAAGGGUGCGUAGGCGGUCGGAUAAGUUAGAGGUGAAAUCCCGAGGCUCAACUUCGGAAUUGCCUCGGAUACUGGUCGGCUAGAGAGUAGUUGCGGUAGGCGGAAUGUAUGGUGUAGCGGUGAAAUGCUUAGAGAUCAUACAGAACACCGAUUGCGAAGGCAGCUUACCAAGCUACUUCUGACGUUGAGGCACGAAAGCGUGGGGAGCGAACAGGAUUAGAUACCCUUGUAGUC
rnacentral:rRNA from 1 species